rnacentral:rRNA from 1 species
UACGAAGGGGGCUAGCGUUGCUCGGAAUCACUGGGCGUAAAGGGUGCGUAGGCGGGUCUUUAAGUCAGGGGUGAAAUCCUGGAGCUCAACUCCAGAACUGCCUUUGAUACUGAAGAUCUUGAGUUCGGGAGAGGUGAGUGGAACUGCGAGUGUAGAGGUGAAAUUCGUAGAUAUUCGCAAGAACACCAGUGGCGAAGGCGGCUCACUGGCCCGAUACUGACGCUGGAGGCACG